rnacentral:rRNA from 1 species
AGCAGUGAGGAAUAUUGGUCAAUAGCCUAACGGCUGAACCAGCAACUUGGAGGAAUGUAUAGCAAUAGCUGAUUGCACCAACAAACAGUUGAUGCAAAAUUGACUCUGUCAAAUAAAAUUCUAGGUAGAUUUAUGAUAAUGACAUUGUCUGCCUAUAUGUCUUGACCAAAUUACGUGCCAGCAGUCGCGGUAAUACGUAGAAGACUAGUGUUAUUCAUCUUUAAUUGGUUUAAAGGGUACCUAGACGGUAAAUCAAGCCUUCGCAGGGACUAAUUUGCUAGAGUUACUUAUGAGGGGGUAUUAAAGUACUACGGGUGUAGAGAUGAAAUUCUGUCAUACCUCUUUUCGAAAGAAAAACUAUGGCACAGGUAUAGGUGAAAACAUCCCCUUAUGUGAUAACUGACGUUGAGGGACGAAGGA